GCAUCUGACUCUUGAUUUCAGGAGCAUGAGUUCAAGCCCCAUGUUGGGCAUAGUGCUUACUUAAUUAAAA